ACCAAAACUUUUUUAGUGCUCUUUUUAUUUUACUGCAACUCCCUAAAAGACACACGGCUGAUACUGAAGGUUCCCAAACAAUACCCUAUUGUUUAUCGUUCUGUUUUUCUUUUAUAAAUCGAGACUGAUUGUAAAUCGUUAGACUGACUUCCUGUCCUGAGAUGGUCCACACCUCAUAGCUGACAAAAGCUGGAAGUUCACAAGCUGCGUGCACCCUCUGGCCUGUGGCUAGGCGUGGGGGCAGCACCCCAGGCCUGUGCUCAGCAGAGCCGAAAGGUCGGCAGACAAACAACAACUCCACAAAUGUUAAGAGACUCAAGAACUUUAACCAGAGAAGGAAUCUGACUAGAUUGACAGGUAAAUGUUUCUGUCUUGAUGUGACAAGCCUUCAGUGGGAGAAAAAAACAACCCAUGUGACAACACUUCUUAAUGAAUUUGAAGUAAACGCUACGAAAAAAAGCUUUGCCAUUUUAAGAAUGAAGUUCAUUGCUUAAAAAGAAACAAAGGUUUAAUCUCUUACAAAAUAAGAAACAGGAAAGGUGUGAUAGACAAAGACCUCUCCCUUCCCUCGGCACAGGGCCUUUGCACACGCCUGCUCACACAUCUCCCCGUUUGAUGACCUCUAGCCUCAGCUAAGGUGCCACCUGCUUGAGUCACAUCACUUUACAAACCCAAAGAAAUUUGUAAUUUUCUGACAUGAUUCUCCUCAAACUUGGUUUUGUUAACUACACAGAUACAUGCUCUGCUGCUGCUAUUUUAUCUGUCAACGUCCUAUGCAUUCUCAGCAAGCCCCAGGGGAAAAUGGAAGGCAUGGAGGCAAUGCUCUGCUGUGUCUCACCUCAGUGUUACCCAGACCUGACCAAACAGCGCUGAAGGAAAGGAAAGCGAGGUGCACCUUGGACCGAAGGGCCAUGUUCUCUUCUUCCAGCUCCUUGAGCUUCUCGUGCAUCAUGUCCAGCUGCAGCAGGCCUUGAGAUAAGCUGAAGGACUCAUUGAACCGGAGGGGUGUGGAACAGCUGGAAUCCGUCUCACUCUCCUCUGAGGCGAUGGAGACGAUUCGGAGCAGCUCCUCUUUCUUGGACAGCUCGUGCUGCAGCUGAUUGACCUGCACAGAGUGAUCAGAACAUUCCACACACUUUUUAUGUGAUAUAGGUCCUAAUUCAUGGAGCAAUUGUUUUUCACCAUUAAAGUUUCCCAUCAGAUGCUA